UACGGAGGGUGCAAGCGUUAUCCGGAUUCACUGGGUUUAAAGGGUGCGUAGGUGGGCAGGUAAGUCCGUGGUGAAAUCUCUGAGCUUAACUCAGAAACUGCCGUGGAUACUAUCUGUCUUGAAUAUUGCGGAGGUAAGCGGAAUAUGUCAUGUAGCGGUGAAAUGCUUAGAUAUGACAUAGAACACCAAUUGCGAAGGCAGCUUACUACACAGUAAUUGACGCUGAGGCACGAAAGCGUGGGGAUCAAACAGG
rnacentral:rRNA from 1 species